UGUAAAAUGGUUUUAAAUCUAAGAUUGA
rnacentral:sRNA from 1 species